AUUAUUUUCACAUCAUUGCAUUCUAUUUGCAUUUUAUGCAGCGUCACAACUAUUUCAGAAACAGGUUUGUAGAUCCUGGAAGUUGCUAACGGGCCAAACCCAGCAGGUGAGGACAGAUGAAUACUCCCCCAUGCUGGUAACACAGGGCCCUCCCAGCAGGUGAGGACAGAUGAAUACUCCCCCAUGCUGGUAACACAGGGCCCUCCCAGGGGGUGAGGACAGAUGAAUACUCCCCCAUGCUGGUAACACAGGGCCCUCCCAGGGGGUGAGGACAGAUAAAUACUCCCCCAUGCUGUUAACACAGGGCCAAUCAGCCGAUCAUAAUUCAUGAGGUUUUUAG
ensembl:lncRNA